GCUGGAGUGGAUCAUGGCGGAGUUGGUCAACCACCCCGACGUCCAAGCCAAGGUGUACGAGGAGGUGAAAUCCAAACCGGAGCUCAACGACGACGACCUCCAGGAAGCGCGGUACUUGAAGGCCGUGGUGAUGGAGGGCCUCCGCCUGCACCCACCGGCGCACUUCGUUCUCCCGCACGGCCUGCAGAGCGACGCGGAGAUCGCCGGCUACACGGUGCCCAAGGGCGCCGAGGUGAACGUCCUGCUUGGAGAGUUCGGCCGCGAUGAGAAGGUGUGGACGGCACCGCUGGAGUUCCGGCCAGAGCGAUUUUUGGACGGCGGCGAGGGGUUCGACGUGGACAUCACGGGGAGCAAGGAGAUCAAGAUGAUGCCUUUCGGUGCCGGGCGACGGAUGUGCCCGGGGUACACGCUGGGGAUGCUGCAGGUGGAGUUCUUCGUGGGGAGCCUCGUGAGGGAGCUGGAGUGGCUGCCACUGGCGGAGGGGGAGGCCGUCGACAUGACGGAGAGGCUGGAUUUCACAGUUGUCAUGAAGCACUCGCUCCGGGCUCGCAUCAUACCGAGGAAUUGAAAUCAUCAACGCCUGUUCUGAAAAAAUCGAAAUAAUCGGAAAAAGGCUCUCAAGUUUGCUGACGUAAUUUUGUUUUAUAGAUGUAUCUCAUGUUUUUGUUCGACGUAAUAAACACGUAUGCAAUGUGCAACUUGAUUUGAACUGAACUUUCAAAAUAUGUCCAUAUACUUAAAUAAGUAAAGAAAUUGUGGGGUUUUCAGGUUUAUUCCUGCAUUGCUAUUGGUACACACGCGUUCAGUGGUACUGCGUGUUUUCCGUGCAAUGAGGGUAGUAGGCUCUCUAGUCUCUUCUUUAGUGUGUGUAUGAACGCGCACGCGUAUGUGCGCGUUGUGGUGUGAGUGUGAUGUGCGUGGUUGUGUGUGUGCUAUGAAUGUACCCUCUCAAAAAAAAUCUACUCCUACCAUUUCAAAAUGUACGUUCAAAUGGAAAGACGUGUAAGGCUGCAAGACGCGUAAGGCGCGUGCCCCGCGUCGCUCCCUGUGACUCGGGCGGCGAGCAACCAAGCCGCGCCGCCACCUCCCCCCGUCUUCCCAGCCUCGCCGUCGCCAGAGCGAGUUAAAGGAAGCCCUCUCGGCUCGCCAGGAUGGCGGCGACGAGGCAAAUCGACCGGAUCUGCGCAUGGGACAGAUGCAACCAUCAUGGCGGCGGCGCAGCCGAGUGAUGCGGCUGGAGUGGAGUGGGGCGAGCGGACCUGCCAUGGCCACGGAGGCCCGACGGGACUGCAUUCCUAGCUCGGGAUGAGUCCUGGCUAGAUUUGGGCCGCGUUGACGACGAUGUGGCAUGCGGGCAUGGCGGCGGCGCAUAUGGGCAAGGAGGAGGACUGCUUCUCUAGGACCCUCACGUCGCUCCUCGCGGGCGACUCGGGCGGCGCCCAAGCAGCCGCGCCACAGCGCCCUACCCCCGCGUCCCUCGGCGAGACUUUCUCUACUUCGUCCCCGAGUUCAGAUGUUGCCGUGGAUUUGCGGCGACACUCUUGGUGAUAAGCCUCCAGCGAUCUAAUCCGGUAUAUUCAAGGCCGAAUCCAGUGACUCCUUCUGGAUCUACACGGGGAUAUGUCGUUCCUACUAGUGCGUGGGUUCGAGCAACCUUGUGCCCGGAUCCUAUGACUAGCACCCUUCCAGUCAGACCUCAUCAGAUGUGCGACGGGGUGGCAGCAUAGUUGGACCUCAUUAGAUGUGCGAUAGGGUGGCAGCAUGGUGGACUUGGCAUAGUGUCAGCCAUGACACGACACACGCAUCUAGGCCUUGCCGCGACCAGCCUCCUACCCUAGCAUGGUGGUUGUGAAUCGCGACAGCGGCGGAUGGCUCUCGAUAAUAACAGAUGCAGUCGCGGGUGUGCGACACCAUCAGCGGCUCGGUGAGGUACCUUUAGUACCUUUUUGCUUAGGUUGUUGUUGGCAUGGUGUGGUGGAGGUCGGGGGGAAAAGACUUGUUGGUGACGCUUGCGAGUGCCACUACCUCCUUAGAGGUAACUUGUUUGCACCUCCGCACAGGGUCAUGUUUUGAUUCUCUAGGUGUGAACCCAGCCCAAUACUCGGGCCGACAAUGAUGGCGCUAUUCGUAUCAUGUUCUUCAUGAAGGUGUUGUCGUGGAGAUCCAUCUGGUGUUUCGGCAUUCUCUAUUUUUGCUCAGCUGCUCGUGGGUGAUCUUUCUACGUUGCUUUGAGGUUACCUUUGGAGAAUAUAUUGGCUACAAUUUAUUAACGUGGCGUGAGGACAUCAGUGAGACCGUCCAUUUAACAAGCAGAGCAAUUGAGGCUUUGGAUUUUCGUCAAGAAUGGAUUGACAUUGCUUAUAACUAUUAUCUUUUUAUGUACUCUUCCGCUUUUAUUUAUUUUUUUUGAUAAUCAGCUAUUGGAACUUGGUUGUGUGCGUUUUUCACAGAGGCCGGGUGUAUUUUCAUUUUCUAAAAAAAUUCAAAAUGUACAUGUUUCAGUUUGCGCCGGGGCCGUACAUUUGGUUUGAUUGAUCCAAUGGUACUGACCCUUGUAAGAUGUAAUCCAAUUUGGUUUGCACUUUGUUUCAGUCGAUAGGUAGAUCAGCAGAAUUAGCAACGUACUCGUCACAGCUGACAACCGGCGGAAUUUAUGGUGCUUCCGUGGCUCGCCGCGCCAGUUGCCGCAUGGCAGCAGGAAGCGACGACGAGCGCGACACCCACACGGGCAAAUAGGGGGUGUUUGGAUACGAGAUGCUAAAUUUUAGAAGGUCAUAUCGGAUAUUUGGAUGCUAAUUUUGGAUGCUAAUUAGGAGGACUAAAUAUGAACUAAUUACAAAACUAAUUGUAGAACCACUGGGCUAAUUCGCGAGAUGAAUCUAUUAAGCUUAAUUAGUCCAUGAUUUGACAAUGUGGUGCUACAGUAACCAUUUGCUAAUGAUGAAUUAAUUAGUCUUAAUAGAUUCGUCUCGCGAAUUAGAUUCUAUAUAUGCAAUUAAUUUUGUAAUUAGACUAUAUUUAAUACUCCUAAUUAGUAUCUAAAUAAAUAUCCGAUGUAACAGGUGCUAAAGUUUAGGAGGGGGAGCCAAACAGGCUCUAAAUGCAGCCCUCAACAAAAGAAGUAGGGGCUCAAGUAACUCGGCCUCCGCUUGGCCCAGCAACACAGCCGCGUCGUUUCAACAGAUCGAAUCGUAGUCGUAGCCUCCGGAUCCGACGGUCCUCUGGAUCCCGGGGUAGACGGUAAAUGAAAUACCGUCCACCCCGACCCUCCCGGCGCGCGCUCUCGCCCUCGCCUCGCCCUCGCGCUUGGCAUCGCCGGCGCCCACGACGUCACAAUACGCUCCCUAAUGCCAUCUCCGUAGCCUCCGACGCCGCCUCCGCCCUUGAACGCGCACCUCCCCCUCACCGCAUUGCGCUCCACGACGGCGGCCGCCGUACGUCGUCCUUCGUGUCCGUGCCCGUGGCCAGCGACACCGGAGACAGCACCGACAGCCCCGCCGCUCGCAUCUCCGCCGCCUGCAGCCCUUCCGGGUCAAUAGACAUGCUUGGCGGAGGUCGAGGGUGCGGCGUUCUUGGAGCGGGCUGGCCGGGAUCUGGCCGCGGCAACACAAUAAGCGAAAACAACUCCUUUUACCAUAAGCGAGCAACUGGUACAUGAGGAAGACGAAGAAAAUUAUAGUAAGAAAGCUACUGAUAAGCGUGGAUGUUCAGUUAAAUAUGCAGUGUUUCUGCACUUCAUUCUCUUUUUCUCCAGCCUCGAGAAUUCAGUGCUUUCAGUUAUCCUUGCAGAGUUGCAGUACUAUAUUCAGUUAAUCAAUGCUUUGCUUCAUUAUUCUCUUCAAUCCUCUCUUUUUUUAUUGAUUCUGUUACUUCCUUGUUUUCAUUCAGUUUUUUUUGAACGGGUUUCUAUUGUAUAUUCGGUUGAAAAAGAUGGUUGCAUCAUCCAAUUUUUCAUUUUUCCGAAAUAUAUGUAACGUGUCAUUACAUUGUUGGACAAGAAAGUGAUUGAAACAAAAUCCACCGGAUGGUAGGUAGACAUUCCCGAGGGAAACUUGGUGUUAUAUGUUCGCCUGACUAAUUUGGCAAACAUGUAUCAUGCUGUUGUUCGCAAUAGUAAAAUCACUGGUAUUUUAAGUACAACUUUCUCAAAUCAAUGUUAUUUCCAUGCGAUCUUUUUUCAAAUCGGUGAUCUAAGAUUGGGCAAUUAGUUAUUUGUAUCGUGUUUUUUUUUUGCUUAAGAUGUCUCGAUGGAGCACGAGGUCUAUAUGUGUUCCUGACAAUGACAAACAAGAGAUUGUGCAAAAUUACAAUGGAGGGAUAUCAACCAUGGACAUAUGACAAAGUAAAAUUGCUGAAACCUGAAAACUGCUCAAUAUGCUACCACCUAGACUACGAAUAAAAUUAAUGUUUAAAAACGAUGAACAAAUUUGUACAUCUAAAUAUAGCAUCGAUGCAGGUGCUCUAAGAACUAUUUCCUAAUUGAAUCUACUUUUAUCUAACAAUCCAUACGCUAAUGACAACGCUACAACUAAUGCAUAGCUAUCUUAUGUUCCUCACUACUAAUAAGACCUCCUUUGGCACGGCUCAGGUCAAAGGGAAUUCGGCUUCGCGCUACAGUAACACGCACUAUUUAGCACCGUGUGUUACUGUAGCAUGCAAUCAGAAUAGAUAUCAAGGCCUCAAAAUAAACUGAGAAGGAGGUGAAGCCUAAAAAUGUGGCUUCCCAUGACUUCGGCUCUGUCUGCUACAGUUGCAAAGGCAAAACCCCCGAGCCAUACCAAAUGAGCCCUAAAUUAGUCCGACGUAGUCGAGCUCCACAGACCCCAGCCACAGCUGGCCGUCCUUCUCGGCGACGUCGCUGAGCGUGACGCCCUUUGCCGCCGUGAGCUCCUCCACCUCCACACCGUCCGACCCGAGUCGGACGCCCACGAGGUGCUUCACGGGAGCCGCCGCCGAUGCCGUGGCGUCGAGGCGCGCCUUCUCCUGGUUGAGCGCCACCCAGUAGCCUCCCUUGGUGUCGCGCCUCACGUUGUCCGGGUACCCCGGCAGGUCCGCCAUGAGCUCGUACUGCCCGGUCUUGGGGCCCUUGAGCCAGUACCUGAACGCCUGACACGGCACUGUGUGCGCCACCACCACGUGCGUCCUGUCGCUGCUCACCGCCACGCCGUUCGGGUACGGCAGGCCAGCCCUGAGUACGGUCGCUUUCUUCGCCCGCACGUCGUACUUGAGCAGCCGCCCCGUCGCGUCGGCGUUCAUCAUGAUUUCCGUGUUGAACCGGCGCUGGUAGGUGGUGCUGCUGUCGGUGAAGUAGACGUCGCCGGUGGCCUGGUCGACGCCCAGCCCAUUCACGAAGUGGAACGGCACGCCGUCGUCGGCCUGGGUGGCCAGCACCUCCGCCUCGCCGCCAUCGGGACCGACCUUCAUCAGCCCGUGGUACGCGUCGGCAAUGUAGAGGUCGCCAGUCUUAGUGUAGAACUGGAGCCCCAGCGGGCGGCCGCACAUGCUCUCCGUCUCCUCCGACGGCACGACGGACGCUGUGCACAGCGGGAUCUUCCGGUAGUUGGGGCUGUGCGCGAACGUUGUCCAGCCGAGGGCGCUGCCGCCCCACUUGAGGACGCGGCCGUCGGAGACGCCGGCGUAGGGGCCCUGGCCCCGGCGGUCGAAAGCGAGGCUCUCCGCGCCGCUGACGCCGUUGGGAAGCGGGAGGUGGAAGCUCCAGAGCGUGGGCGUGGUCUUGAUCGGCUGGGCAGCGUAGAUCGACGACGGGAGCAGGAGUGCGAGGGCGACGGCGAGCAGAAGCGACGCCCCCACGUUGGUGCGCGCCAUCUUGAUCGCGUUCUUCGUCGAUGGAGCUGAGCAGCUUUGGUUCGAUGGGACGGCAAUCCGGUCGCGCACGCGCACUUUAUAGUCCAGGGCGUGCGGCGGUGCGUCAGACUCGGACGCGGCCGAGCGUCGCCGUCGGUGUUGAGGACUCGAGCUCUUCUCUUUCCUGUGUGGCUGUGUCCGACUCCAGCUCGGGUCCGACUCGCCCGGGGUUCUAGCGGUAGUGAACUUCGCCAGACAAAGAAGACAAGGAACGCGCGAGAGGAGAUUGGGCUGCAGAGAAAACAGCAGCACUGAAAUGGAGAAAGAUGAGAGCACAUUCAGUAGACUGUCAGAUGAAGACACCAUGAAUUUUAGGGAGAUUGAUGUAUAAGCGUAUAGCAUCGCCACUAGUUUAUGCCUCUUUGCCCAUGCUCGACUGAUUCCGAAGUUUUUUACUCUUUAUAUAUAUGUUCUUGGAUAGAUGUAGAACGAUGCUUUAUCACCAAGCAAGAGAGACUUUCACCUCCAAGCCCAUUCCGGCAUUCCGCGAUAGCGUCAGUGACAGCUAGUACAAUGCUAUCUAAUCCGAUUUACUGAAAGUCACCACGGAAGGAUUGGUGGAUGUAUAAAACUCACGACGAUAGAAAUAGAACGCAACUUUGAACAUCCAAGCGGCUCAACAUUAAAAAAUGGUUUGAUCAUAGUUUAGUUUUUAGACCUAACGUGAAGUAAAUGUAUUUAACUGCGUACCCAGAGAAUCAAAGAUUCAGAGCGCACGAACAGCAGCUGCAGCCAUGGAGCAAUCCAUCGCCUGGUCCACCUCGCCUCUGCUCCUCCUCUGCACCCUGCUCUCACUUGUUGCCUCGCUCCUCUUCUUGCUUCACCACGCCCAUGGCCGCAAGAACCCAACGCGAGCAUGCAAGGGGAAGCUCCCUCCCGGGCCACCGACGCUGGUCUUCCUCACCAAGUUCUUGGUGCUCCGGCGAUCGAUCUUUGACCUUGGCUCGCUCCUCCGGGAGCUGCACGCGCGCCACGGCCCCGUCAUCUCCAUCCGCCUCUUCCGCACGCUGGUCUUCGUCGCCGACCGCCGGCUAGCGCACCGCGUCCUGGUACAGGACGGCGCCACCUUCGCCGACCGCCCGCCCCUCUUCGAUCCGGGACGCCUCUUCACCGCCGGGGAGCGCGACAUCAGCACCUCGCCCUACGGGCCCUACUGGCGCCUCGUCCGCCGCAACCUCGCCGCUGAGGCGCUGCACCCCGCCCGCGUCAGCCUCUACGCGCCGGCGAGGCGGGCAGCGCUGGACGUGCUCGUGGCCGAGCUCCUCCGCGCGCGCGGCGGCGACAGCUCGAGCGCCGUCCAGGUGAGGCCGGCGUUCCGGCGCGCCCUGUUCUAGAUGCUCGUGUACAUGAGCCUCGGCGCCAGGCUCGGGGAGGAGGUGCUCGACGAGGUCCAGGACAUCCAGAUGCAAAUCCUCCGCUCCAUCACCAGCUUUCCCAUCUUCUCCUUCUUCCCGGCGGUCACCAAGAAGCUCUUCCGCAGACGGUGGGAGUCGUACGUCGCUGUGCGUCGCAGGCAGGACGAGAUCUUUCUCCCGCUCAUCCAAGCCAGGCGCGGCGACGACCCGCCGUGCUACGCGGACUCCGUCCUCGCGCUGCGCGUGGCCGACGAAGGCAACCGCCCGCUCACGGACGCCGAGGUGGUCAGCCUCUGCUCCGAGUUCCUGAACGCCGGCACGGACACGACGCUGACGCUGCUGGAGUGGAUCAUGGCGGAGCUGGUCAACCACCCCGAUGUCCAAGCCAAGGUGCACGACCGGAGCUCAACGACGGCGACCUUGAACAGGCGCGGUACCUGAAGGCCGUGGUGCUGGAGGGCCUUCGCCUGCACCCGCCGGCGCACUUCCUUCUCCCGCACGGCGUGCAGAGCGACGCGGAGAUCGCCGGAUACGCGG
rnacentral:lncRNA from 1 species